AUAUUCCACUUGUAGCAAGAAAUCACGUUCUUGUAGGUUCAUCAAAUAUUUACAACGAGCUUCAUUAUGUUUUUAACAAUGGUAAACUUUUAUCUGGAAUAGAGUCAUUAAUUUUCCACACAAUAACCACACAAUUGAGGUUGCAAUUAAAAUAUAUCAGUUUGAUUGGUUUUUUUUUGGUUUGGAACGCGUCUGGAAAAGGAAAUCUUUCUCUUGGGUCACGAACAGACGCAAAUGUAUACCUAUAUAUAGACAGUGAAGGAUAAUUCACGACUUGAGGCAUCAUGUAUUCGCUCAGCAGUCGGGGGUGUAAUUUGCGGGUUGUAAUACCAAGCGCAUCGUUUGUAACCCGCUCGCGACAGGAAGCCAGGUACACGAUUGGAGUGAGAAACAUCCCAGAGAACUAUGUAACCACAUCGUCGUCUUAUCGGCCUGAUGGCUCCCACUGGACAAAAAAAAAGGAAAACAGAGAGAAUUUUACCGGACAAGGAAAUAAAAAUAAAUGAUCGAUCAUCGUAACUAGUGUACAUUCAUAUACAGAUAAUGAAUAAAAUUUUGGCUGAAAAUCGUAAAUUGGCAACUAAAUGAUCGAUCAUCGUAAUUGGUGUACUUCCUUUUAAUAUCAAUGAAUAAAUUUUUGGCCGAAAAUCGUAAAUUAACAAUCAAGUCUGGAGCAAUUCAAGAAUGAAGAAAUCGCAAGGGAAUUGAAAUUAAAAUUAACGUCCCUGUGGGUCAGAAUGAAAAGUUAGCUUUUUGCGAUUAAAGCUUUUUUCUCUUCAAGUUGGUGACCACCUUACCCUGACGAUUCUUGGUUCUUUUCUUCUUUCUGGGCUAAUUAAUCUUGUGUGGUGGAAUCGUUUUUGGAAAUUUUCAAUCAGAGCACCAUCGACUGUCGGAGGAGGGUUGAUAUGCUUGUGGUCUGGUGAAACGGAGUGAGAGAGAGAGAGGAAAAUCGGAUAGAAAAUGCAAAAGAAGAGAGCGAGAGAGAGAGAGAGAGAUGACUUCCAUAGGAUUGAACGAAAACCAAGUGCAGGGGGGAAUUACGUCAUGUGUGAAAUUACAAUCACCCUCAACCCUCCUUUCUCGCUAAUGUGUUCACUCGCCUCGCUUCAAUAUAUUCGUAUCCUCUUGUUAUACCUGUACAUAUAGGAAUAUUGUACCCUCAUAUUCGGAUAUUUUCUGAACAAA